CAAAUAAUUUUCAUCGUCUCCCCCCAAAAUCAUCUCCACCAACCAAUCUUCGUCCAACCUAACGCCAGCAGCUCCUACUCAUUUUAGGGUCACCGUCUACCAUAAAUCCACCAUGAUUAAGGAAACAACCCAACAAUCUCAUGUGACCUCUGCUACGACAAAAAAGCAAAGAAAGAAAAAUCAGGCAAAAGUACUUUUUGUCUAUAAUUACACAAUCUAUAAAUAAUAGCAAACUCAUAAUACCAAAUUCAAAGCGUACAGAAAAUUUCACCUUAUAAAGUAAAAAUUCACGAAGAAGCAUGCACUGCAAUCAUUAGAAUUAAAGAAUGAGAAAAGAAUCAAAUUGAAUUCGUGCAGAAGUAAAUGAAAAAAAAAUCUGGAAGAAGAAGAGGAAAUAAAACAAAAACGGCAAAAAAAUUCCUUUUUCCGGUGAUGUUUGAUUUUUCCGGCAAAUACCUUGUUAUGGCUUAUCAUAAUUUCUUUCCACGAAGUUUGAUUUUUCCGGCAAGAAUUACUUUUAACUUAGGCUAAAUUGAUUUGAGUAAAAAAAGAUUAAAUUUGGUAUGAUGAUUAAAAAAAAGGGUGUUUGUGAUGAAGGAGAGGGGAGGCCGUGAAGAAGAAGAUGAGGGGAGGGGAAAUUCUGCGUUUGGGAAUUGAAAAAUUAU
rnacentral:lncRNA from 1 species